GAUGCUACCUGGUGUCCUCCAGAUCAUCUUU
rnacentral:rRNA from 1 species